GUAUGAAGAUGAGCUUGCUUCAGCGUUUUGUUACACCACUGAUCACCAUGGUUGAUCUGUUUGAUCUGGCUGGCUACAUGGGUGUUCCCUCCCUCCCUCACCACCGCAUGUGCAAUUUUCCAAAGCUGCACCUUUGGUGGAACAGGAUGACUAUCCAAGAUAGAAGUGUACCAUUUUAUUGUCAAGGGUAUGCAAUAGCUGAGCUUCACUGCUAGAACCUCCAAACAAGCUCAGUAAUAGAAAUAACUGUAUGAUUUUGUUUUUCAUAUGCAAUAAGAAUAUAUUGAUUCAAUAAGAAUAUAUUGAUU
rnacentral:snRNA from 1 species